GAAUUUUGGACAAUGGGCGAAAGCCUGCUCCAGCAAUGCCGCGUGCAGGAUGAAUUCCUUCGUGCUUUAAACUGCUUUUGUACGGCACGCAACGCUUUGGGUUAAUACCCUUUCUUCAUUACCUUACCGUAAUACUAAGCACCGGCUAACUACGUGCCAGCAGCCGCGGCAAUACGUAGGGUGCAACGGUUAAUUGGAAUUACUGGGCGUAAGGCGUGAGCAGGCGGGUUUGUAAGACAGAGGUGAAAUCCCCGGGCUCAACCUGGGAACUGCCUUUGGGACUGAAAGGCUAGAGUACGGCAGAGGGGGGUGGAAUUCCGCGUGUAGCAGUGAAAUGCGUAGAUAUGCGGAGGAACACCGAUGGCGAAGGCAACCCCCUGGGCCUGUACUGACGCUCAUGCACGAAAGCGUGGGGAGCAAACA
rnacentral:rRNA from 1 species